rnacentral:rRNA from 1 species
GGUGAACGCUGGCGGUAGGCCUAACACAUGCAAGUCGAACGGCAGCACAGGAGAGCUUGCUCUCUGGGUGGCGAGUGGCGGACGGGUGAGGAAUACAUCGGAAUCUACCUUUUCGUGGGGGAUAACGUAGGGAAACUUACGCUAAUACCGCAUACGACCUACGGGUGAAAGUGGGGGACCGCAAGGCCUCACGCGAUUAG